GACGAACGCUGGCGGCGUGCUUAACACAUGCAAGUCGAACGGAAAGGCCCUGCUCUUGUGGUGUGCUCGAGUGGCGAACGGGUGAGUAACACGUGAGUAACCUGCCCUUGACUUUGGGAUAACUUCAGGAAACUGGGGCUAAUACCGGAUAGGAUCUCCUGCUGCAUGGUGGUGGUUGGAAAGUUUCGGCGGUUGGGGAUGGACUCGCGGCUUAUCAGCUUGUUGGUGUGGUAGUGGCUUACCAAGGCUAUGACGGGUAGCCGGCCUGAGAGGGUGACCGGCCACAUUGGGACUGAGAUACGGCCCAGACUCCUACGGGAGGCAGCAGUGGGGAAUAUUGCACAAUGGGCGGAAGCCUGAUGCAGCAACGCCGCGUGCGGGAUGACGGCCUUCGGGUUGUAAACAGAUUUCGACUGUGACGAAGAGUGAGUGACGGUAAUGGGUAAAGAAGCACCGGCUAACUACGUG
rnacentral:rRNA from 1 species